CGGAGCUGGGCUUUUUGGAGUUAUCUGCUUGUGUCAUCGGUUGCGAAUGUCAGUAGCUAAAUUCUGCGAGCAUGCUGGAGGAAUUCCAGAAAAAGCUGGUGAAAUUGUCUGCUUGGAGAAUGGCAUGAGUAUUGCACAAUGGUUCAAAUUCUGCAUAGGGGUCGGAGGAUCUAUUGCUAACACCAGGUGUGAUUGGCCGGAAUGGGCACAUAUGAAAAGUUCUCCAGAAGAACACAUAUUGAAAAGUCUUGCAUCAAGAAACAGUGGAACAGGAAAAAUGGGGUUGUUAAGUAGAUAUGGAAAAAUCACUGGACAUAUGAACAA